AUCACUGAUCAAUGGAUCAGGUUGUGUCAAGCUCGCUUUCUUUCUAGUACAAGACAAUAUCGAACCUAAGGGCCUCCCUCCUUUUAGGGAGCCACACGGCCUUGUGACACCAAUUUUUCCACUAUAUGGCGUCACCGUAUCACCAUCCAUGGUGAUGGCGUCAAGACCAACACUUUUUGGUCGCGCCAUGUCCUUUUGUAGGACAUCAAUCCUUGCAGACAUAUUUGCAGCAUGUGAUCUCGUCACUUUAACACUAUAACACUAUAAGCAUUUGGGAUCAAGAUGAGACUUAGUGGGGACAAACCACGACAAUUCACGUCGUUCCACUUGAACACUUGUGUUCUUAUCUCCCCCUAACGGCGGGAAUAUUGUCUCAUCAAAGUGACAAUCCGCAAUUUAGCGGUGAAUGAGAUCGCCUGACAAGGUUCCUACAUAUGCGGAUUAUAGAUGGAGGUUCAUAUCCAACCUAAACUUAUUCAUCUCAAAUGACCCAUCAUUGUACGCAGUGGCAAUGCGAUUUGGCACCUAGAAAUAACAUCUAGCCGAGCUCAAGGAUUGGAGAUCCGUUUCAAUCCUGCCGAGCUCAAGGAUUGCAAUUUCGUGUCAAUCCUGGUACACAGUCACGAGCUAUAGUACAACAAAAUUCAAUGAUGGUGGGUCGUAGAUGAAUAGUAAAGCUGCAUGCAAAUAUUGCAUAGCCCCAAGACGCAAUAGAAAGAGUGGUGCGCAUCAAUAAUGUUCGAGCGACAAGCUAAAGUUGCUUGGUCGUAGCCUCGGUGAGACCAUAUUGCGUGUGAACAUGGGGUACAUGACACUUCAACUUACAUCCCGAUGAACUUCUUUAAAGAAUGGGUAGUGAGCCCGUAGAAGUAUAAACAAUAUAAGCAGUAGAUAAUAGUGUAACACGUGACCGGUGUGCUAACACUUCAACCAACACCAUAAAGCAUAAAAGGUGUCCGCAAGUUGGUUGUAUCUAUCUACAUAAUUUUAUGUAAGAAUAGAAUGUUCACUUUUGUGUUAUUUAGCAUAGGAGGGUCUCACUCCUAAUUUAGCUAAAGAAUAGGCUUUCAAAACGAGCAAUGAGCAUUGCAGGGGGCCAAUGCGACAUCGAGGAAAGACCGGUGCACCUCAAUUGCUUAAGGAAUUGACCGGACGACCUCCAGGAAGUUGGAGUCGUGUUCGGGUGACGUCAAUGUCCCCCGGGUCACCACCAUGCUUCAUGGUGAUGCUAGGUCUCGAAUGUCUUCGUUUUGAGCGGAAGAAUGGAUGUCCAUGAGAAUUUCUCAAAAUUUGGAUCAUUAUAUCUCUUCCAGGUUGACCAAUUUAGUCAAACCAAAGCCUAUAUGAGUCAGUGUCCCAAAUAUCAUGUUUGGCGACAACAUGGGAUUCGAUAUUCGAAUCAUAGUGACAUACAGUCCAUUAGAUUGACUCAUGAAUUUCUUCAAGAUGCGCUUCAGUCCGCAUUCAUGAGAAGGUAUACAACAAAAGAAUUACUUGUUCAUUCUCN
rnacentral:lncRNA from 1 species